ensembl:lncRNA
AGGAGAAGAGAGCAGCGCACAGGGAGGAGGAGAAAGAGAAAUCUAGAGGAAAAGUGUCCAACUACAAUACCUCAACAAGGGGAAGCGGUUUGUGACAACGAAUGAAAGAGCAGAAUAGGACAAAGGGACAAACAAAAUAAGAGUGGAGGCCAGAGAGACAGUGACAGACUGAGCAGCUCGGUGACGUGAUGUCCCAUAUGGAACGACCAUAGUCAGAGCAGACAGGUCAGGAACGUACGAUGACGCUCCACUCACUUUCAUAAGCCUUCAUUAAAACUCAUGCAGGACGCGAUGAAAAAAAGGAACCAUUUUAUCUGUCAGCGGGAGAGAGGAAAACCAGAGUUUUCAGCGCCUACUGUCAUUUACCACCGAGUUCAAACACUGUUUCCAGCCUGGGAACAACCGGGAUGUGUAGCAGCCUGAUGAUGCAUAAAUUGGAGUAAUGUUGUGAAUAAUUGAUUGAAAAGUGUUUGGUCCUGAUUCACAAAUGCCUCUCAUCUAUUUAUCACUAUUAGGAGAAGCUGCCAGGCCCAUUAGAGCAGCUGCUCGUUAGAUGUCUGUCAAUCAAGGGGGAGGGGAAACACACCAGGCACACUGAUACUGGUUUACAUUUAGCGUGACGAACAGCAGGACGGCUCCUAUGUUUAGCUGCAGCUAGCUAGCGAAUCCUAGCUUUAAAUGCCUCCGGCGUCUGCCAUCUGUGCGCUCGCCACCGCCAUAUAUCUAAUUUAUGGCUGGACUGAAUGUGUAAUGUAGGCCUAUGUAUGCAUAAUAUAUCACGUGAUCAUAUGUCAGAGGUGUGUGUAGUAGCUGUUUUAAGUCUCGCUCCCAUCAGGUUUGACUGGGCUGAUGAAGAGCCCAGAUGUUUCUUAGACCUGGUUAAAAGAUCGAAAUGCAGGCAGAAUGCCAAUGUCUCAUUAGGCAAAUUUGAUUGGGUUUCUAAUUUAAAAUUCUGAAUGAGGCGCUUCCAUAUGUAUGAAUGUGUAGGAGGGCACGUGUGCGUGCGUUCAUUUGCAUAUGUAUAUAUUACAGUAGGUCCGUGUGUGCGCGCUUGUUUGUGUGUCUAUGUACCAUGUGUCUGUAAUACAU